rnacentral:rRNA from 1 species
CGCGCAAAUUACCCAAUCCUGACACAGGGAGGUAGUGACAAGAAAUAACAAUACCGGGCCAUUUCUGGUCUGGUAAUUGGAAUGAGUACAAUUUAAAUCCCUUAACAAGGAUCGAUUGGAGGGCAAGUCUGGUGCCAGCAGCCGCGGUAAUUCCAGCUCCAAAAGCGUAUAUUAAAGUUGCUGCAGUUAAAAAGCUCGUAGUUGGAUUUCUGGCACGGUGCGCCUGGUCCGCCGCCCUCGAGGUGUGUGAGUACCGGCGCGCGCCUGCCAUCCUUCGCGGGUCGGCGCCUCCCCUUCACUGGGCGCGGGCGUCGGGCCGCGAUCGUUACUUUGAAAAAUUAGAGUGUUCUAGCAGGCGUUGUCGCCGUGAAUACAUUAGCAUGGAAUAAUAAGAUAGGACUUGGGUUCUAUUUUGUUGGUUCUAGGACCGAAGUAAUGAUUGACAGAGACAGUUGGGGGUGCUGGUAGUUCACGGGCCAGAGGUGAAAAUUCUUGGAUUCGUGAAGACCAACUUAUGCGAAAAGC